AAUAGAUACCCCCGGUAGUCCACCCCGUAAACGUUGGGAACUAGUUGUGGGGUCCUUUCCACGGGUUCCGUGACGCAGCUAACGCAUUAAGUUCCCCGCCUGGGGAGUACGGCCGCAAGGCUAAAACUCAAAGGAAUUGACGGGGACCCGCACAAGCGGCGGAGCAUGCGGAUUAAUUCGAUGCAACGCGAAGAACCUUACCAAGGCUUGACAUACACCAGAACACCCUAGAAAUAGGGGACUCUUUGGACACUGGUGAACAGGUGGUGCAUGGUUGUCGUCAGCUCGUGUCGUGAGAUGUUGGGUUAAGUCCCGCAACGAGCGCAACCCUCGUUCUAUGUUGCCAGCACGUAAUGGUGGGAACUCAUGGGAUACUGCCGGGGUCAACUCGGAGGAAGGUGGGGAUGACGUCAAAUCAUCAUGCCCCUUAUGUCUUGGGCUUCACGCAUGCUACAAUGGCCGGUACAAAGGGCUGCAAUACCGUGAGGUGGAGCGAAUCCCGAAAAGCCGGUCCAGUUCGGAUUGAGGUCUGCAACUCGACUCA
rnacentral:rRNA from 1 species